GAACUGAUGUACCCUUGCUUGCAGUUACUGCUACAGCAACAGAGAAGGUACAGCAGAAUAUACACCAAGGUCUGCUGUUGUCCGACGAUGCGUUAUCCGUCGGCGUAUUACCCGACAGACCGAAUAUUCGACUGGCGGUUAGAAAUCGACUGAUCACGCUGAGGAAGAGCUGGUGUGGUUGCUGCAACAGUUUCAGACAACACCCACACUGGUCAAGACUAUAAUAUUCUGCAAGUCGUACAGGUGUGUAUAUCAAGUGUGGUCAUGGUUGGUUAUUCAACUCGGUGACACGUCUUACGACGGGGAGCACCGUAGCUACAACCGCG